GAUGAACGCUGGCGGCGUGCCUAAUACAUGCAAGUCGAGCGAACGGACGAGAAGCUUGCUUCUCUGAUGUUAGCGGCGGACGGGUGAGUAACACGUGGAUAACCUACCUAUAAGACUGGGAUAACUUCGGGAAACCGGAGCUAAUACCGGAUAAUAUUUUGAACCGCAUGGUUCAAAAGUGAAAGACGGUCUUGCUGUCACUUAUAGAUGGAUCCGCGCUGCAUUAGCUAGUUGGUAAGGUAACGGCUUACCAAGGCAACGAUGCAUAGCCGACCCGAGAGGGUGAUCGGCCACACUGGAACUGAGACACGGUCCAGACUCCUACGGGAGGCAGCAGUAGGGAAUCUUCCGCAGUGGGCGAAAGCCUGACGGAGCAACGCCGCGUGAGUGAUGAAGGUCUUCGGAUCGUAAAACUCUGUUAUUAGGGAAGAACAUAUGUGUAAGUAACUGUGCACAUCUUGACGGUACCUAAUCAGAAAGCCACGGCUAACUACGU
rnacentral:rRNA from 1 species